GAUUUAGCUCAGCGGCAUAAGCGCCUGCCUUGCAAGCAGGCAGUCAUGAGUUCAAUGCCUGGUACCAAUAAAAAGGAAAAAGACCAAAAAAAAAAAACGAAGAAGGAGGAGGGGAGGGGCGGGAGAUUUAGCUCAGCGGCAUAAGUGCCUGCCUUACAAGGAGAUGGUUGUGAGUUUGAUCCCCGGUACUGAUAAAAAGAUUAAAAAAAAAAAAAAAAAAAGGAGAGGAAGAGAGAUUGAAGAGAGGAGAGAGAAAUGAGAAAAAAAGAAACGAGAUAAAUCAUGUAUAGGUACAAAUUCCAUGUAAUGAAUGAAAUCAUUAAGUAUAUUUAAAUUGUUCAAUAUAUUUAAUGAUUUUAAAAAAGAAGUCUUAUGCCUUUCCUACUGCUUCCACCAUGGUGGGCCUUGCCAACAUUCCUGCAGCCCUCCGUUUUUUCCCAUCUUAUUAUUGAGAUACUCUCAUCGCCUAGAUGGUAAUGUGACUCCUUCCAUGGAACAUCACCAUUCCUCUUAAAAAAGAAAUAAAGACAAAAAGGUCAAUGUCACAUCCUACAACUGAUACAUCUUCUUGAACAUGAAACAAAGUUUUCCAUUUUCCUCUGGAUGAACUUGCUGUAUACUAGCAAAAGAACUUUGUUAUGUUUGUGUUAUUCCAAAGUACCUGUUAUGCCUCUAUACUGCUCUGUAUACAUUCCCUCCCCCUGUGACCUAAUUGAUAUGUUAAUCAAUGCUCUCCUCUGUAAAGAAUUGUAAAUCCCUGGGAACCUAACCUAAUUGAUAUGUUAACCAUUGUUGCCCUCUACAAAUAACAGAUGUGGUGCUAAAAUAAGCUGACAAAGGAUUGUUAAUUAAUUCUAGACUUCUCUGUCCUCUGCUAAGGGAAACAUUUCCUUGGCAGAUUUCCUGAUCUAUGCCCAUAACCCCUUACUUUGUAAACUGUGAUAUCUACCAAAAUGCUGUAAGUUUUGAAGGGGACACACAGCUUUUGCAUACUCCAACUGCACUGUGUCGCUGGGCCCAGGAUAAAAUCUAACCCAGCUU
rnacentral:lncRNA from 1 species